rnacentral:tRNA from 1 species
GCCGAGGUACCGAAGCGGUCAAACGGGACUGACUGUAAAUCAGUUGGCUUUACGCCUUCCUAGGUUCGAAUCCUAGCCUCGGCA